GACGAACGCUGGCGGCGUGCCUAAUACAUGCAAGUUGAGCGCUGAAGGUUGGUACUUGUACCAACUGGAUGAGCAGCGAACGGGUGAGUAACGCGUGGGGAAUCUGCCUUUGAGCGGGGGACAACAUUUGGAAACGAAUGCUAAUACCGCAUAAAAACUUUAAACACAAGUUUUAAGUUUGAAAGAUGCAAUUGCAUCACUCAAAGAUGAUCCCGCGUUGUAUUAGCUAGUUGGCGAGGUAAAGGCUCACCAAGGCGAUGAUACAUAGCCGACCUGAGAGGGUGAUCGGCCACAUUGGGACUGAGACACGGCCCAAACUCCUACGGGAGGCAGCAGUAGGGAAUCUUCGGCAAUGGACGAAAGUCUGACCGAGCAACGCCGCGUGAGUGAAGAAGGUUUUCGGAUCGUAAAACUCUGUUGGUAGAGAAGAACGUUGGUGAGAGUGGAAAGCUCAUCAAGUGACGGUAACUACCCAGAAAGGGACGGCUAACUACGU
rnacentral:rRNA from 1 species